GCACACGUUCACCACCAGGAAGCUGUACGGUCACAGCAGCGUAAUCAAUCCCAUCUUUCUCCUCAAACUUGACAGUUCCAUCAGGGGAGACUUCGAAAGGUCCCUCAAUCUCGUCGAGAGUGUAGGUCAAGCGAGUCAUGAGCUUAGUGUUUUGGAACUCAGGUGGAGAAUUCUUGCUUACACCUUCUGCCUUGACAGUGAAUGAAGUGGGCUCUAAGCAGAACUUCUUGGCGGUGUAUUUUCCAGGC
rnacentral:lncRNA from 1 species